GACAAACGCUGGCGGCGUGCUUAACACAUGCAAGUCGAACGAUGAAGCUGGAGCUUGCUCCGGUGGAUUAGUGGCGAACGGGUGAGUAACACGUGAGCAAUCUGCCCUUGACUCUGGGAUAACUGCGGGAAACUGUAGCUAAUACCGGAUACUUUCACUGGAAGGCAUCUUCUGGUGAAGAAAGAAUUUCGGUCAAGGAUGAGCUCGCGGCCUAUCAGCUUGUUGGUGAGGUAACGGCUCACCAAGGCGACGACGGGUAGCCGGCCUGAGAGGGUGACCGGCCACACUGGGACUGGGACACGGCCCAGACUCCUACGGGAGGCAGCAGUGGGGAAUAUUGCACAAUGGGCGCAAGCCUGAUGCAGCAACGCCGCGUGAGGGAUGAAGGCCUUCGGGUUGUAAACCUCUUUUAGCAGGGAAGAAGCGAAAGUGACGGUACCUGCAGAAAAAGCACCGGCUAACUACGUGCCAGCCGCCGCAGUAA
rnacentral:rRNA from 1 species